rnacentral:tRNA from 1 species
UCUUGAUUGGUCUAGUGGUCAGGAUACCUGCUUGUCAUGCAACAAAUCGCAGGUGGCCGGGGUUCGAUUCCCCGAUCGAGAG